GAUGAAGAACGUAGCGAAAUGCGAUAAGUAGUGUGAAUUGCAGAAUUCAGUGAAUCAUCGAAUCUUUGAACGCACAUUGCGCCCCUUGGUAUCCCGAGGGGCAUGCCUGUUCGAGCGUCAUUUCACCACUCAAGCCUGGCUUGGUGUUGGGCGACGUCCCCUUUGGGGACGCGCCUCGAAACGCUCGGCGGCGUGGCACCGGCUUUAAGCGUAGCAGAAUCUUUCGCUUUGGAAGUCGGGGCCCCGUCGGCCGGAAGACCUACUCGCAAGGUUGACCUCGGAUCAGGCAGGGAUACCCGCUGAACUUAAGCAUAUCAAUAACGGAGGA
rnacentral:misc_RNA from 1 species